CCACCUGUCCGUCUACUGUACAGGGUGUGAGCGACGUGUUGAUUGGAGCUCCUUACGUCAUCACUCAGGAUAUCAUAGACCGCUGUAAGAUAAAGCUGGUGUGUCACGGAGGGACGCCGGUGAAAGCAACGGACGAUGGACGGGAUCCCUAUGAGGUUCCUAAAAGGCUUGGGAAAUUCCAGGAAAUCAUCAGUGGAAAUUCCACACGCACCAAAGACAUCAUCAGCCGUGUUGUGGAGAG